rnacentral:rRNA from 1 species
UAAGACAGAGGUGCCAAGCGUUAGGCGGAAUCACUGGGCUUAAAGCGUGUGUAGGCGGGUCGUUAAGUGUCUUGUGAAAUCCCCCGGCUCAACCGGGGAAUGGCUGGGCAUACUGGCGAUCUUGAGCAGUCUAGGGGCAGAUGGAACAGACGGUGGAGCGGUGAAAUGCGUAGAUAUCGUCUGGAACGCCAAAGGUGAAGACAGUCUGCUGGGGACUUGCUGACGCUGAGACACGAAAGCCAGGGGAGCGAACGGGAUUAGAUACCCCGGUAGUCCUGGCCCUAAACGAUGUCGACUAGAUCGCAGGACCUCUGACGGUUUUGCGGUCGUAGCAAAAGUGCUAAGUCGACCGCCUGGGAAGUACGGUCGCAAGGCUA